AGCGAAAAUGUGAAUCCAGAUUGUGUUUGCGUAUUUAUAUGCUUUUACCAAAACCCGUGUACCCAGCUCCAGUUUCAACAUCACCCGACUGCAGAGUUAAGAAGAUCGUUCGCAGAACGCAGAUACAAACAUACUGUAGUAUCACGUAACACCCUAAAGCAGUCUGCGCAUUAUACUAACGAUUGUUUUAAAGAGUUAUUUGAAGGAUAAGUAAAGUAGUUGUUGCAUUCGUUCAAGUUUUUUUUUUUUACAUUUGUAGCAUCAGUUGCGUUUUUUAGUUAAGCACAGGAGCACAUUGAUAUUACAUCUUUUAACAAACUACGUAUUUGAUGCCGAUAAAUAAAACAAUCUAAACCAAAAAAACUCUGAUUGUAAUUCAUUUACUCGGGAAGGACCAUUAGUCUCGGAUGAGAAGCCAACUCUGAGUGAGGGCCAGUUUCACUGAACGGGGAUGAUCAGACCUUUUAGAAUCUUCUGGCGGGCUCGCCUAUAGAAAUCAGGGAUGUAAAGAGAUAACCAGGAAUGUCAUUACAAUACACACGGGGAAAAUGGCGUACAGACCACAAAGAGAAUCGAGCGUCCUAGUAGAAACCUUUUUCUCACUGAAAUAACAAGAAAUUCGUGUGGCAUGAUUAUCUCUACAUCGAGUUAACCUAUAGCAACUGUUAUGAAAGGCUUUACAUGUCACACCAGCAGCAACUUUAAGAUGGAGACAUGUUGGUGGAGGUAGCUAAACUGAACUGAAGAGGCU